rnacentral:rRNA from 1 species
GACAGAGGGUGCAAACGUUGUUCGGAUUUACUGGGCGUAAAGCGCGUGUAGGCGGCUUUGCAAGUCGGAUGUGAAAUCCCACGGCUCAACCGUGGAAGUGCAUCCGAAACGGCAUGGCUGGAGUCCCGGAGAGGAAGGUGGAAUGCUUGGUGUAGAGGUGAAAUUCGUAGAUAUCAAGCAGAACACCUGCGGCGAAGGCGGCCUUCUGGACGGUGACUGACGCUGAGACGCGAAAGCGUGGGGAGCAAGCAGG